rnacentral:lncRNA from 1 species
AAAGAUCCAAGGAGCUCAAAAUCCAGCCGACAUGCUUACAAAGGCAGUAACCAUUGAUAAAUUGAAGUUGUGCUCAGCUUCAAUUGGUUUGCUAGAAUGACAAAGACAGAAAGGCUGCUGCGUUGAUCGAGGUGUGAAGACAGAUUGAAAUCAGUCUUCAAGUGGGAGAUUGUUAGUAAAAAAUGGAAGUAGGUAGCCACCUACCACCUCCACCAUUUGCCACCUACCACCAUUUGCCACCUACCACCUCCACCAUUUGCCUAUAAAUAAACAUCUUCUGCAGCAUCCCAAACACAACAACACAACACCAAAAUCACAACCAUAGCUAUCUAGAGAGAGAUAGAAAUAGAGAGAGAAAAAAUCUUGUGAGAUAAAACUUCAGUGUGGAAGUUAUACACGAGUGAUAAAAGAGAGUUGAGAGAUAGCCUCUGCGUAGGCAGAUACAAAAUACAGUGUGAUAUUUUGUUGUACUCCUCCUUUUGAGAUUCUCUAAUAUAUUGGUGUGGGUCCGUGGACGUAGGCAGUUUGGCCGAACCACGUUAAAAAUAUCGGUGUCAUUUUUUUUUCUCGUUUC